rnacentral:rRNA from 1 species
GACGGAGGAUGCAAGCGUUAUCCGGAAUGAUUGGGCGUAAAGCGUCCGCAGGUGGCAGUUCAAGUCUGCUGUCAAAGACCGGGGCUUAACCUCGGAAAGGCAGUGGAAACUACAAGGCUAGAGUGCGUUCGGGGCAGAGGGAAUUCCUGGUGUAGCGGUGAAAUGCGUAGAGAUCAGGAAGAACAUCGGUGGCGAAGGCGCUUUGCUGGACCAUAACUGACACUCAGGGACGAAAGCUAGGGGAGCGAAUGGG